CGCCUCCAGCACAGCAAGAUGUCUGACAGCCUAGGCAUGUUGGAAGACCUGUGCUACCAGGACUCAUCCUGUUGUUGGAGACCCCGCCGCAGAAGGCCAUGUUAUUGUUGUUGCUAUGAUCCAUGCACUGGAGAGCUAAUCUGGCAGGGUAUGUGCUGUUGCCCUUUGUGGCAUGGUAGGGGCAGAUAUGGAAGGUGAUGGCCAUGAUCAAUACAGAUCAAAUAAUUAUGGCAUUUGGAGCAACACAGACAUGAAAAACAAGAUACAGAUUCAUGACUGACCCGAAGAACAUGGCCUGGAGCAGAGCUAAGCACUCAGCACCUCCAUUGUGAGGGCUUCGCGUUGCUGGAAGACUCCCUCCCCCAUACACCUGUUUCCUACACUUUUGCUUUGUCCCUCUAGGAACUUUGCAUUUUCUGCAUCAUUACACAUUAAGGGCUUUCCAUGCUGUGCUGUCAUUUAAAAGGAAGUCUCUGCUCCCGUAGAGUCCACUUGUAAUCCAUUGCAGACCACUUGAUAUAGCCACAGUGGUGCAGAAAGGUUUUGGUGUGAACAGGAAAGAGAAGCUCUUUUAUCUUUUAUCUUUUGCUUCUUUUGCUUAAUCUUGGCUACACAAACUGUAUCAUGGACUAGCUGCUGGUUCCCCUCUUUUCCUGGUGCUUUUUCUCAUGAACCAAUAUUCCAGGGGAAAAAAAAAAGUAAAUAAAUAGAUGGAAACAGCUUGGUAGUAAAAAUCAGCAGUUGCAAAGCAAGAAGCACACCUUGUACAAAAUGGGCCAAGUAUAGAAUCCCGGUUGUGGCCUUCUGGAAAAAAUUGGGAGUAUUUGCUCUCUCCUCUGUAUCCCUUCUGUGUCUGUAUAACUCAGUUUCUUCUGCGCAUUGCCAUUACUUUGCAGAAUAAUAUUUGCCUCCUGGAUUUCUUUUCCCCUCCAUUCUUUAUUUGCAAACCUGUUGGUGAAAUUUUCUCAUGUUCUCAGCCCAGCACAUGGCAUGACUUAAUUCACAUUGAAGUCCUACACAGAGAAGAAAAUCAGCCCUGUUAGUGUGCCCUGUACACAUGUUUGUGUGCCCUGUACUUUUCUCCUAGCCCAGCUGGGGUGUUUGCUAUUCUUUCUCAUAUAGAGCACCUGGUCCUUUUCCUCUGCUGCUGCUCCAUGACUGAUAAUACUGUGCUUUCUACACUGGAGAAACCUAAUGCCAGCACUGAAAUCUCUCCAGCCCGUUCCUCCUAUACUAUUAAAAAAAAAGAGUAGUUGCUCUCAUGCCUCCCUCCCAGUUGCUUCUACUGCCAACCUGGUUUAAUCAAAAGCAUGGUCAAAUUAAGACCAAUGAAUCUGAAGCAGAACUGAUUUAUAAACCUGGAUUUUAAACAAGUCUUUAUGAAAAAAGGGGAGCCCGGGGCCUGUGUCCAAUCUAUUUGUGCAUGUAACUGGAGGCAGUAGUGCCCUAUUCCAUUUCCCCUGAACUCAAAUGAUGAAGGUUUCGUCCUGUAGGAUUACAGGGGAGAACGGAGACUGCCGAGCUGCUUGAAAGUCCUGGAGUGACGGAGAGCUGGAAAUGAAAAGCCAGAUACAAAUGCACAGCUGAGUUUACCAGCAUGGCUUUCAGCAGCGCUCAGCGCCCAGGUCUGUCCCCAACCUAUGUGACAGUCCUGAGGACUCGGCAGCUCUGUGAAGGUGCCUGAUCUAUGUAUUUCCAAUGUUGUGCUGCAUGAUUGUUUCCUCACAUGCUUUCAGUGAUGCCGUUUUUUUCUACUUUGGUAGAAUAAUGGAAACAGUUUCCUUAUGGAGAGCAUAUAUAACACCAAAUCUAGUCUUACAGGCCCGUUUCAUUUGGAUUUUCAAACUCUACAGUGACAACAAUCAGAGAAGAAACACCAGUUUCUCCAUUGUCUUAAAUGUGGGGGGUUCUAAAAUUUAAAAUAUAUUUUUUUUACAAAAAGAGAAAGAAACCUGCAUUGGUUUUUAAAUGGAAAUUAAAUUCCAAUUAAAAACCUCAAAAAAUUAAAGCUCUAACAACUCACGACCUAAUUAAAGCUUAGAAAUGAGCGAGGGCGGUCUGCAUUGUUAGAGACUCUAUUGCUACAUACAGCGGUGACUUCCAGUAGCCAAAUAUUAACUUUGUUGUAAUGCAACAAUUUUCCCCUGCAACAGCUUUAAUGAGUGUUAAUGAAGUGUUUUGAUUUCCUAAAUUCUGAGAACAUUAGAAUAUGCACUGUGGCUGUCAUUAUCCUUUUUUUUUUUGAAACUAAGAGGUGGCACAUUGAAGGGAAGGACACAUUAUUGCCUUGCCAGUAAACGACUUAAUAUAAGUUGAUAGUCCUGACAGCUAGGUGUGCAACUAGCAACUGGCUGAGUAAGCCCUGUGAGAUCGUGUUGUGAAAUAACAAUAGUGCUAUCAAUCUCUGAUGAAAUUAGGUUUGGCAUAUUGGACUUUAUCUCCCUUGUUUUUUUGGGUCAAGAUUCCUCUGAAUCAUCUUCUGAAGUAGCCCAUGAUCACGUACAUCAUGCUGCCAUCUCCUUUCUCUUCUCCUUCUUUGUUCAGAAAGAGGAGAAUACUGCUGAGGAAAAAGCAAGUCCAGAAGUUUCUUAGCUACUAAUGGAGAUGUCAAGUUCAGCAGACAAUACAAGAUAGAGAGCUUUGUUAUAGGAUGUCACAUGUUGCUCAAAUGAAAAAAUGUCCCCCUCUCCUCUGCAGUUGACAGUUCCAUAAAUUUAAAUCCUCAAUGGGAAAGUCCUAUUCACCUUAAAACAUGCCAUUAGGCUUGCCAGAAGAGGGGACGGGGAAUGUGAAACCCUUCUCUAAGGUACAACCCAACAUCUGAAUGACUCUGAACACUUUCUGAGUGUGUGUCAGAAGCUCUGGGGCACUCCUUCCCCUUCCUCGCAGUUCUUUGGGUCUUUGUAGCACUAUUAUACACAACAUUAAUUUAUGGAAAUGUUCUUUAAGAUUUCAAUGUCAAAAAGUUUAGAAAACAGCCAGUUUGCUCUACCUUUGUGGUAAAUGGUGAAAAUAUUUGCAUCUGUUCUGAAUCAGGCUCACUUCUAAGUUUGAAGAGCUGAUAAUUUUCCCCCAAAAAGGAAACUCUGAGUGUCAGCAAGUUUGACCCUCCUCUCCCAGUGUCACCUCUCUUAAGUCAUCUCCAUAAAACCAUGAAUGUAGUUGGGCAAGAAAUAUUUUGCAUGGAAAAAACUUGGACGGUGCAUGUGGAACACCAGGAAGCAGACGACAGAUACUAAUUAGAAAAAAAAACAAGGAAAACAAUUAUUCCCACUAAAGGUGUGGCAUCCACAACAGAACGUUUUGCAUCUGAUAAACACAAACGGGUGUUUCUGGUGAACCAGGUAGUUUCAGAAGCUGUAUAAAAGGCCUUGAAAACCAGUGCUCUCUACUCGCUGCUCUUGUUUUACUCCCUGUAGAAAAUCAGGUUCACCACCAUCCCAACAAGAUGUUUGACAGCCUAGACACAGUUGAAAACCUGUUUUACCCAGGCCAGUCUGAUUUUCAUUGGCUCCCCUACCCUCAAAGGCGAUACUGGUGUUGCUGCUAUGACCGAUACGGAAGGCUAGUUUGGCAGGGCCCAUGCUGUUAUCCAGGCCCCUGGUGUCGCAGUUAGGAACAGCUCUGGAAGGUGAUGGCCAUGCUAAAUCCAGCUCAAACAUCCACAGCACUGCGAUGAACGAAGACAUUAAAAGCAAGAUACAGAUUCACGGCUCACCCAAAGGACAUGGCUUUAAACAGUGCUAAGCACUCAGCACCUCCCUUGUGAGGGCUCAGCACUGCUACAAGACUCCCUCCCCCAUACACCUGUUUCCUACUCUUUAAUUUGUCAUUCUAGGAACCUUUAAUUUUCUGCACUGUUAAGCAUUAAGGUCCAUACAUGCUGUACUGUCACUUAAAAGGAAGAUUCUGCUUCCCUAGAGCCCACUUGCAAUCCACUGUAGACCCCUGGACACAGCCACAGUGGUGUCAUAGGGCUUUGGUGUCAACAGAGAUGGUCUUUUAUUCUUUGCUGCUAACUAGAAACUUGGUUACACAAACUGCAUCAUGGAGAAGCUGCUGAUUCUCCACCUUAUAUGGUGCUUUGCCUCGUGAUAUUUUUCAGCGAGAAAAGAAGUGAAUAGAUAGAUGGAAACAGUUUGGUAGAAAAAUUGUCAGCAGCAGCAAAGAAAGAAGAUCACCUUGUAGAAAUGGGCCAGGUGUAGAAACCCGUUUGUGACCCCUUUGGCAAAACUUGAGAAUAUUUGCUGCCUCCUCUGUAUCCCUUCUGUGUCUGUACACUCAAUUUCUUCUGUGCAUUAAACUUCCUCUGCAGCAUAA